GCCUGGGUGGCUCAGUGGUUGAGUGCCUGCCUUUGGCCCAGGGUGUGAUCCUGGGGUCGCGGGAUCUAGUCCCACUUUGGGCU
rnacentral:tRNA from 1 species